rnacentral:rRNA from 1 species
GAUGAACGCUGGCGGCGUGCCUAAUGCAUGCAAGUCGAGCGAAUGGAUUAAGAGCUUGCUCUUAUGAAGUUAGCGGCGGACGGGUGAGUAACACGUGGGUAACCUGCCCAUAAGACUGGGAUAACUCCGGGAAACCGGGGCUAAUACCGGAUAACAUUUUGAACCGCAUGGUUCGAAAUUGAAAGGCGGCUUCGGCUGUCACUUAUGGAUGGACCCGCGUCGCAUUAGCUAGUUGGUGAGGUAACGGCUCACCAAGGCAACGAUGCGUAGCCGGCCUGAGAGGGUGAUCGGCCAAACUGGGACGGAGACACGGCCCAGACUCCUACGGGAGGCAGCAGUAGGGAAUCUUCCGCAAUGGACGAAAGUCUGACGGAGCAACGCCGCGUGAGUGAUGAAGGCUUUCGGGUCGUAAAACUCUGUUGUUAGGGAAGAACAAGUGCUAGUUGAAUAAGCUGGCACCUUGGCGGUACCUAACCAGAAAGCCACGGCUAACUACGUGCCAGCCGCCGCCGUAA